UCGUGGUUAGCUCAGUUAGUAGAGCGCUCCCUGGAAGUGGAGAGGUCCCUGGUUCGAUACCUGGACGAGGCG
rnacentral:tRNA from 1 species